ACGAACGCUGGCGGCGUGCUUAACACAUGCAAGUCGCACGGAAAGGCCCUGCUUGCAGGGUACUCGAGUGGCGAACGGGUGAGUAACACGUGGGUGAUCUGCCCUGCACUUCGGGAUAAGCCUGGGAAACUGGGUCUAAUACCGGAUAGGAGCCAUUUUUAGUGUGAUGGUUGGAAAGUUUUUUCGGUGUAGGAUGAGCUCGCGGCCUAUCAGCUUGUUGGUGGGGUAAUGGCCUACCAAGGCGGCGACGGGUAGCCGGCCUGAGGGGGUGGACGGCCACAUUGGGACUGAGAUACGGCCCAGACUCCUACGGGAGGCAGCAGUGGGGAAUAUUGCACAAUGGGCGCAAGCCUGAUGCAGCGACGCCGCGUGGGGGAUGACGGCCUUCGGGUUGUAAACUCCUUUCGCUAGGGACGAAGCUUUUUGUGACGGUACCUAGAGAAGAAGCACCGGCUAACUACGUG
rnacentral:rRNA from 1 species